rnacentral:rRNA from 1 species
CCGCGAUCCUAUUUUGUUGGUUUCUAGGGUCGAGGUAAUGAUUAAUAGGGACAGUUGGGGGCAUUAGUAUUUAAUUGUCAGAGGUGAAAUUCUUGGAUUUAUGAAAGACUAACUUCUGCGAAAGCAUUUGCCAAGGAUGUUUUCAUUAAUCAAGAACGAAAGUUAGGGGUUCGAAGACGAUUAGAUACCGUCGUAGUCUUAACCAUAAACGAUGCCGACUAGGGAUCGGGCGGUGUUAUUUUCAUGACCCGCUCGGCACCUUAUGAGAAAUCAAAGUAUUUGGGCUCUGGGGGGUGUAUGGUCGCAAGGCUGAAACUUAAAGGAAUUGACGGAGGGGCACCACCAGGAGUGGAGCCUGCGGCUUAAUUUGACUCAACACGGGGAAACUUUCCAGGUCAGGACAUAGUAAGGAUUGACAGAUUGAGAGCUCUUUCUUGAUUCUAUGGGUGGUGGUGCAUGGCCGUUCUUAGUUGGUGGAGUGAUUUGUCUGCUUAAUUGCGUUAACGAACGAGACCUUCACCUGCUAAAUAGCUACGCGGGCGCUUCGGCGCUCAGCGGGCAGCUUCUUAGAGGGACAAUGUGAGCCAAUCACAUGGAAGCUGGAGGCAAUAACAGGUCCGUGAUGCCCUUAGAUGUCCUGGGCCGCACGCGCGCUACACUGACGCAGUCAACGAGUUCUUUUCACCUUGACCGGCAGGUCUGGGUAAUCUUCUGAAACUGCGUCGUGC